ensembl:lncRNA
AAGGCCCCACCUGUUAAUACUGUCACUGUGGUGAUUAAAGUUCAACAUGUGAAUCUGGCGGGACGUUCAGAUCAUGGCACUUGGCCUCAUCCUGCUGACCUGUGGCAGGGGGGCAGAUGAGGAUAGAGCCUAUCUGGGGCAUCCCAGAUGGGUGGGGUCUAGGCCUUGAUUCUGGCAGUCAGUAAUGCAGGAUCUCGAUAAACCUAUAAGCCUCAGCAGCCAAUGGUCAGGGCUGAGGACAAUGGAGGGUGACCCAUGUGGACUUGAUGACCAGAGGUCAUCCCCUCAGAUGUAAUGGGAAAGGAGCUCCCGAGCGGAAUCCAUAGUGGGAAGAGAACACAGGACCGCACGGCUGAGGCCACGGCUGAGGCCACAGCAGGGGCAUAGAGCAGAGUACUUUCUGCAGCAGAAGGCCCACAAGAGAUGGCGUCCAAGGAGUAGCAUCCCUCCCCAGCCAUGCUUCCCUGGGAUUUGGGCAAGCCUCCCUGCAACAUGAGCCUCAGUGCGGGCUGGAGGAGGGGGUUUCUGGUUCCUCUGCCUCUCCCGGGUCUGAGCUCGUGGUUGUCAUUGCUCAAGGCCCUGCUGUCUGUCCACAGCAUCCGGACCUCUCAUCCGUCUACACCCAUUGCUUCAAGUUUGGUCCCUCCGCCGUUGGUAAUGUCCAGCUCUGCUUGGGCUGCUCACCUGCGUUUUACAUUCCAACAUCUGCUGUGUGUCCUCUCUGGGCAGCCCCCCGCCCUCCCUCACUCCCCAGGGGCUCCUCCUCUGUCCCUGUACGCUUCCUCUGUGCUUCCCCCACAGUUAGGGGCACCACCAUCCAUCCAGUCACCUGGGAAUCAUCCCGGGGACCAGUGAUCUGAGGACGGAGAAUUGACCGCUGAGCUUGGCGGCAAGGUUGGUGCCCUGACCUGACUUGAUUAACUGGCUGUGGCUUCUGCUUGGAGAAUGGCCUGAAGCCCGGUGAGCCUGGCGGAAGGACUGCUAGGAGGCAGAGCAAGCAUUCCAGGUGUGAGUGGAGCAUUCCUAGUGCCAGGCCAUGCUGAGGGACGGGUGGGCGUUAUUCUAGGUGCUGAGAGGAUUUUAAGCCUGGUGUCCUAGCUGACCUCCCACCCCCCACCCACCCAGGAUCCUCAAGCAGGGCUCUCCAUGCCUCAUUCUCACCCCAGCUCGGCCUGUGUGUCUACCCACCUGGGCCUCCUAUCCACUCUGUCAAGUUGGUGACUGUGUCCUUGCCUUGUGGAGUCCUCUUAAGGUCUCGUGGGGACCUUGUCCAAGAGAUGUUUAAUAUUUGUGGGGAGACCAAACCAAGAAGAAAUGAGUGGAUUAAUCAGCGGGCUCUAGGCCAGGCACAGUAGCUCACACCUGUAAUUCCAGCACUUUUGGAGGCCGAGGCGGGCAGAUCACGAGGUCAGGAGAUUGAGACCAUCCUGGCCAACAUGGUGAAACCUCGUCUCUACUAAAAAUACAAAAACUAGCCAGGCAUGGUGGUGGUGUGUGCCUGUAAUCCCAGCUACUUGGGAGGCUGAGGCAGGAGAAUCGCUUGAACCCAGGAGGUGGAGGUUGCAGUGAGCCAGUGGCACUCCAGCCUGGCGACAGAGCAAGACUCUGUCUCAAAAAAAAAAAAAAAAA